rnacentral:lncRNA from 1 species
UUUUUUUUUUGCUUUUUAGGGCUGCACCCUUGGCAUAUGGAGGUUCCCAGGCUAGGGGUCAAAUAGGAGCUACAGCUGCUGGCCUACACCACAGCCACGGCAACACCAGAUCCAAGCAAUCUACGACCUACACCACAGCUCACAGUAAUGCUGGAUCCUUAACCCACUGAGUGAGACCAGGGCUCGGAACUCCAACCAGCAACCUCAUGGUUCCUAGUCAGAUUCGUUUCUGAUGCGCCACGACGGUAACUCCCGACACCUAUAUUCUUUAUAAGCUCCCUAAGUGUUUUCGAAAGGAAGGCAGGGCAUUGGAGGAUGUGGCCGGAGCAUGGCUCUUCCUCCUCCCAGCUCCUCCCCCCAACCCCUGGAGUAGGCAAAGCAGGGAUUUAUUAAGCAAAAGUACACUCUCAGGAGGGAGAGCAGGCAGGCUUAGGUGAGCAGCUGCCCUGUAUCUAUUUUUUUUUUUUGCCAUACCCAUGGCAAAAAUAAUGCCCAGGCCAGGGAUCGAACCCAAGCCAGAGGAGCAGCAACCUGAGCCACUACAGUGACAAUGCCAAAAACUUAACCUGCUGAGCCACAAGAGAACUCCUGAAUAUUUUUUUUUUAAGCUUCUGGUGAUUUAAAUAUGCACUCAGUAUUGAGAACCACUAUAAAUCAAAACUCUGAACCCCAUUCCAAAAAACAACAUAGCAAAGAAUCACUGAGUGCUUCUAUAUGCUUUUUUACAUUUACUACCUCAUUUUAUUCUCAGCCCAAUAUUCAUUGUGCCUAUUAACUAGAUGAAUGUGUAAAUAAAUAUGCUGCUGUGUUCUGAUUUGUAACCCUAUAAAUACACAGAAAUCUCAUUUGUAAAAUCAAGGAGUUCAUCUAGAGAACGAAGUUAAUCUGCUAUUCAUCUGUAACAAGGAAGUAACAAUAAAAUCCCACCACUAGCACACUUAUUGUGCACUAAUUAUGCACCAGUUAUGAUGCUCAGGGCUUCACAUGGCUUAUCUGUCUAACCCUCACAACACAAAGUAACAGGCCCAUCCUGACCAUCAUUUAUAUGAGGGUCUUGCUUGUCCACAGAUCUACUGGUCAGCCUAUAACAGUGCAAAGAUACUGUGACCUAGAAGGCACAAGCUCAGGCUUAAGGUUUUGGAGGUGAAAAUGUCCUGAGGGUGAGAGUUGAGGUACUGCCUGUGAGUGUGGGUAUAAGAAAAGGAAUAGAAGUGAAAGUUAACAGAAGUAGAGAAAAUAUGAAACUAAGUUUCAGAUGACACUGAAAUCACCCUGGAUAACAAUGGACUGUCUUUGACUACCUGAUUCCUGGUUCUGAAGUGACCCAUGAAUACCUCAUUCUCAAGUUUAAUCUAUUUUGACUUGUCUCUUAAAUAUGGUCCUAUAGUGGUAUCUACCCUCCCUGGGUCCAUCAGUGAUGCCAGAGUUGCAGACUUUCUAUAGUAGUAUUUCCUAUUGGAAUCCUAGAGAGUCCAGAUACAUUCCCAAUCAAUAAAACCACCAAACGAGCCAGAAAAAGAGCAAAUUUUAUCAUUCUAAACUGCAUCCUUUAUACUUUUUGAAGAUUCUACAUUUUGAUAUACAUUUUAUAAAUUAAUAUAUUUGUUAGAUACAGUGAAAAAAAAACAGAAGAUACAGAGGAACAAAUUUAAAAUAUCUAAGUAGGAGUUCCC